rnacentral:rRNA from 1 species
CCCUUAGAUGUUCUGGGCCGCACGCGCGCUACACUGACGCAUUCAACGAGCCUAUCCUUGACCGACAGGUCCGGGUAAUCUUUGAAUCUGCAUCGUGACGGGGAUAGAUUAUUGCAAUUAUUAAUCUUCAACGAGGAAUGCCUAGUAGGCGCAAGUCAUCAGCUUGCGUCGAUUACGUCCCUGCCCUUUGUACACACCGCCCGUCGCUCCUACCGAUUGGGUGUGCUGGUGAAAUGUUCGGAUCGGCCGUUUGUCGCGGUUUCCGCGUCAUGUGGCUGAGAAGUUCAUUAAACCCUCCCACCGAGAGGAAGGAGAAGUCGUAACA